rnacentral:tRNA from 1 species
UCCCUUAUAGCUCAGUUGGUAAAGAAUCUGCCUGCAAUGCAGGAGACCCAGGUUCGAUCCCUGAGUUGGGAA